GACGAACGCUGGCGGCGUGCCUAAUACAUGCAAGUCGAACGCAGUGGGGACGGGUGAUUAACCCGUGGGUAACCUCCCCACAGAGGGGAUAACACUUGGAAACAGGUGCUAAACCGAUAAUGAGGUAUGUACCGCCGGUGCAUUAGCUAGUUGGUGGGGUAUCGGCUCACCAAGGCCACGAUGCAUAGCGUACCUGAGAGGGGGAUGGGCCACACUGGGACUGGGAUCCGGACCAGACUCCUACGGGAGGCAGGCGGAGGAAUUCUUCGGCAAUGGACGAAAGUCUGUCCGAGCAACGCCGCGUGAGUGAAGAAGGUGUGCGGAUCGUAAAGCUCUGUUGUUAGAGAAGCGGUAUCUAACCAGAAAGCCACGGCUAACUACGUGCCAGCAGCCGCGGUAAUAC
rnacentral:rRNA from 1 species